AGAAGCUGGGAUUUAUUAGAGCUCAAAGGUGGGUGGCCAUGCUCUGGUUAGUUGCGAUGCCUCUCCCUCGGCAGCCGGCCUCGUCCCAGCCCAGUCAGGAAUACAAACCUCCGGAUGCUCCCGGCUGGCUGGAGGGUCGGGAGGCUGAGUCUGGAUAGCCAGAGGAUGCAGCACCCUGCCGGGAGCAGCGGCCGCUCAGGGAAGCCUCUAAUAGUAUCCUUGGAAAUGACCCACUGGGUAAAAAGGGAGCCAGUAACAAAUCCCUGUGAAAAAAAACAGCCGGUGUAAUUGCCACGAAUGGCCUUACCUCGAAAAGCCAUCACAGCCUGCCCUGUGUCGGGGUGGCACCACGGAGAAAGCAGAACAGUUGGAACAGAGGACCGGCAGCAGUGAGAUGGCACAAAGAUCCCAUCCAGACUGCUGCUGAGUACAUUUGUCCGUGUACCGGGCUCACGUGAAGAGCUUGCAGUGUGACUGCAGGCCUGCGCCAGGUCAUGAUGCUACAGUUCACAUCAGCGUGGUCCAGCACGACACAGCCGCCCCGCAGGAGUGAAAUCGGUGGGAAGGAAAAGCCACAGAGUAAACAGCUCGCUCAGAUAACCCACCCAGAAGCUCAGUGCUAAGUUCAGGCAGCUGCCUGCUCCACACUAGGUACGUGACUGCUGCUUUCCUGUGGACGCUUGCAGCCCAGCUGUGUUGGCAGGUUCUGGUUUAGUAGGUGGCAGGCAGCACCCAGGAGCUUACACUCUUAGACCAAGCGGGCUUGAGGCUUGUUGGCUGCCGCGUCACCCUCAUCAGACCAAACACCUCAUUUCUGAACAGCCUGCGAGAGGCGAUGUGGAUGGAGCCUUUGGCGCGUCCCCAGGGAAGGGUCAGCCAGGGGAGCGCACGCUGCCUGCUCUAAGCAGCUACCGGAGGAGCUCCCGGGGUGACUGCCCGCAGGCUGGUCCAGCGCAGUCGCUCCUGCAGGCAUAAAGAACCAGGGGAGCCGGGCAGCAACUGGGAGGAGUGGAAAAGCACUUGAGAUGCUUGGAAGCGUCUGCCCCGUCCUCCGCUUACCUCUGUCCUCACCUCUGUCGAGACGUGGGGCAGGCCCACGUGCCAGCGAGCGCUGCCGUAGGCUCGGAAGGUGCUUUCCAAGCUGCCCUCAUCCUCCUGCACAUGGUCCUGCUGUUUUAGUGAGUUCUCCUGAAGUUGCUCCUGACCCAGGCUAAGUACUUUUCUGUUGACAUCAACUUUUGCCACGUCACUAUUCACCCCCAGGGUAUUAAGACAGCAUUAAACAGUA